AAGAGAAAGGACGAAAGUCCAACCUCCAACCCUUUGUUAUAAACCACUAGUUGCCUUGCCUUAUGUCAGUUGAUUGGGGUGUGGGGAAACCCAUGCCACUCUCUAUGGCCUCUAGGGCAAUGGACCUUUAAACUCGAAUAUCAGUGUAGUCUGAGAAAAAAUUCAAUGAAUUA
rnacentral:misc_RNA from 1 species